rnacentral:rRNA from 1 species
UAGGGAAUAUUGCGCAAUGGGGGAAACCCUGACGCAGCGAUGCCGCGUGAGUGAUGAAGGCCUUCGGGUCGUAAAGCUCUGUCGUAUGGGAAUAACAUAAUGAAUGUACCAUGCAAGAAAGGAUCGGCUAACUUCGUGCCAGCAGCCGCGGUAAGACGAGGGAUCCUAGCGUUGUUCGGAAUCAUUGGGCGUAAAGCGGGUGUAGGCGGACUUUUAAGUCAGAUGUGAAAUCCCAGGGCUCAACCCUGGACGUGCAUUUGAUACUGGAAGUCUUGAGUGUGGUAGAGGCUAUUGGAAUUGUUGGUGUAGUGGUGAAAUACGUAGAUAUCAACAGGAAUACCGGAGGCGAAGGCGGAUAGCUGGGCCAACACUGACGCUGAGACCCGAAAGCGUGGGGAUCAAACAG